ACAGAGAUACAGAUAUGGAUGUAAAUAUAUAUGGAUGUGUGUAUGUGCAUAUGUAUAGUAUAGGGCUUUGGUGAGGUAGUCUAGGAAAGUUUGAAGGUCCCUGGGGCAUUUGAAUAGGUUUUUGUUAGAAAAAUCGAAACAUUGACUAAAUUUAGCCAUUUAUUUUUUAAACUAUCAUGUGGGUGGAUCUGUAAAUCACAUACAAUGGAAGUAAAAGGAUGAUUCAGUGUGAAGGUGCCAAGUGGGAUGCAGAUCUAUGUGCUGUGUGGAACAGGAGCUGCCUGAUCUGCACCAAGCCCAGCCAUGUGCCAGAAUCAUGGCCUGAGCAGACUCUCUGAGCUUCAUUGUCAACUUUAUAUGAUAAGAUGACAGCAGCUUCCUAGAAGAUUGCUUUAAGAAUUGCUGAUUAAUCAUCCAUGAGUGAUGAAAGACAGAUACCAACAAAUGAAAUUAGACUCUCUCUGACUAUCCUCAGAUCAAAAACUCUAGAGAUAUGCAGCAUGUUGGGACGACCAAGUAGAAGCCAGACAUGGAGAGAGAAGAGAGAAUGA
rnacentral:lncRNA from 1 species